AGCGAACGCUGGCGGCAGGCUUAACACAUGCAAGUCGAGCGGGCCUCUCGGGGUCAGCGGCGGACGGGUGAGUAACGCGUGGGAACGUGCCUUCUGGUUCGGAAUAACUCAGGGAAACUUGAGCUAAUACCGGAUACGCCCUUUUUGGGGAAAGGUUUACUGCCGGAAGAUCGGCCCGCGUCUGAUAAGCUAGUUGGUGGGGUAACGGCCUACCAAGGCGACGAUCAGUAGCUGGUCUGAGAGGAUGAUCAGCCACACUGGGACUGAGACACGGCCCAGACUCCUACGGGAGGCAGCAGUGGGGAAUAUUGGACAAUGGGCGCAAGCCUGAUCCAGCCAUGCCGCGUGAGUGAUGAAGGCCUUAGGGUUGUAAAGCUCUUUUAUCCGGGACGAUAAUGACGGUACCGGAGGAAUAAGCCCCGGCUAACUUCGUGCCAGCAGCCGCGGUAA
rnacentral:rRNA from 1 species